AAUGUACGCUUGUCUCAAAGGUUAAGCCAUGCAUGUCUAAGUACACACUUUAAUAAAGUGAAACCGCAAAAGGCUCAGUACAACAGCUGUAAUUCCUUAGAUCAUAAACUCAGUUACUUGGAUAACUGUGGAAAAUCUAGAGCUAAUACAUGCAUCAAACAGGGACCGCAAGGAACCUGUGCAAUUAUUAGACAAACCAAUGAUCUUCGGAUCGUAUAUUGGUGGAACUCUGGAUAAUUUGGCUGAUCGUAUGGUCUAGUACCGACGACAGGUCUUUCAAAUGUCUGCCCUAUCAACUAUUGAUGGUAGUAUAGAGGACUACCAUGGUUGCAACGGGUAACGGGGAAUCAGGGUUCGAUUCCGGAGAGGGAGCCUGAGAAAUGGCUACCACAUCUAAGGAAGGCAGCAGGCGCGUAAAUUACCCAAUGCCAGUUCGGCGAGGUAGUGACGAAAAAUAACAAUACAGGACUCUUUUAUGAUGUUCUGUAAUUGGAAUGAAUUAACUUUAAAUCCUUUAAUGAGGAUCAAGUGGAGGGCAAGUCUGGUGCCAGCAGCCGCGGUAAUUCCAGCUCCACUAGCGUAUAUUAAAGUUGUUGCGGUUAAAACGUUCGAAGUUGAACUUUGUCUCACACUGUGGCGUCCCCCUUACGGGUGUUUGACGGUCCAUGGCCUGUGCAGACUGUAAGUCUUGGCAAAUAUGCGUCUGACCUUGGGGUGUUAAAGCCUUUUGCGAUGGCGUAUAAUAUAAAAUUGUAUUGAACUGCCUUUUGUUAGGUGGCUUUUUGCAAGCCAAGCACAUUUUUACCUUGAACAAAUUAGAGUGAUCAAAGCAAGCUAUUAUAUGCUUGGAUAAUUAUGCAUGGAAUAAUGGAAUAAGACCCUGGUCUUUUUCUUGUUGGUUUGAAUAGACCAA
rnacentral:rRNA from 1 species